GAAAAGCCCAUUGUGCAGCACCAGAGGGGAGGAACGGGCGCUGGUCUCAAAGCCAUCAUGGCACUGGCUGAACAGGCAGAAGAAACCGCCGAGGUGCCAGCGAGCCGAGGGGCCUGGGUCUGAGCAGUCCUAUAGGAUCACAGGAACUAAAACAAGUGCUGAGCUUCUCCAACAUAAUGGAAUACACUGGACACCGAGGACUCGCUGAAGUGGCCAGACAACAACUCUUCCAAUACUGUGAACCCUUAUUAUUAAGUCCCAAAAUGAAAAGGUAUUUUUAAGACUGAAGUAAAAGAAACACUCAGUGAAAGAUGAAGUUAGUUUUCAGUUAGAAUUGUGGAAGAAAAAGAAGAAGUGAGCAUAAAUGUAUUAUUUGUUAGCACAAAGGCAAAACAACCAACUCCAAGUGGAAUCUGAAACUGAGACCAGCUGCUUCCUUCGGUUACCGCCACUGCUGUCACCAAAAACAAAUUAAAGAAAAAUCAGAAAGCAAGGAAAGAGACUCACACCACACAGCUUCCAGCACCAUCAGGAUUAUGAGUGCAGACAACCAUCGCAUUGUUUGUGCUUCUGAUUUACAAUAACACAUACCAAUGGGUUUUGAUACGCUGCAUAUCGGCAGGUCAGGGCUCCCUGGCACUGCUCAUCACUCGGCCCUGCUUUGACCUGCUUAAAGCCAAAAGUUUCUGUUGGCAGCGAGCAAAUCCAACCUCCUCACAUCCCCCUGAACGGGACAAACACUUGUAGGGAGCAAUUCGGCAUCUCUGUGGGUGCUGUGGGUUGUGCCCUGGUGUGGGAGCAGAGGGAUGACCAGGCCGCCAGCUCAGAUGGAGACUGCUGCCCCGCAGACUUUUAGUAUUAUUUGAUUUUCAAUAUGUAACAAAAAGUCUGGAAUAGCAUACUAACUGACUAGGUUUCUGAUCAAGAAUGCUUCCAUACAGCCAGCUUCACCCACAGCACUGGCUGCCACGUAAAAAAAUCGAGGAGGUUUGUAAGACUGUCCCCAAAUUCACCACGCAGCCCAUGCCAGCAAUGGAGUAUUUUCGAGCUCCAAAUAUCACACUGUCUUACGCUUAAGAUCUGAAGAAGAAAACAAAAGUGCCAAGGAACAACAGAAAGGACACCUCAGAACACUGAGAUAUGCUGCGAUUCUGGGCCAUUUUCUUAAAUGAUAAAUGGGCCUAUUAUUAAUUCAAUAGAUUGCUCAGGCUCCAAAAAUAUGAGCUACAAUGUUCAUUUACACGCUAUCUGUUAUCCUCAUUAACUUAAGUUGACCACAUUUUAUGGCCUUUAAAAUGGGUCAGUUCCCAGAGGAUUUCCACUACAGAACUGAUUUACAUUCUAACAAGAAAGGAUAAGCGGGGGGGGCACAAAACCCACAACUAAACAAAACAGCAGUAGAGAACGAUGGUGUUCUUCAAGUACACUGAAGUAGCUAAUUCUUUUGCUUGAAGAUAAAAAUUCCUUAUGUAUCAAAUCCUAUUAGUAUGUUGCAAAUUAAAAGAGAAAAUAAAAGAAUAUAAAUGAAUAAGAA